UUGAACGCUGGCGGCAGGCCUAACACAUGCAAGUCGAGCGGUAGCACAAGAGAGCUUGCUCUCUGGGUGACGAGCGGCGGACGGGUGAGUAAUGUCUGGGAAACUGCCUGAUGGAGGGGGAUAACUACUGGAAACGGUAGCUAAUACCGCAUGACGUCUUCGGACCAAAGUGGGGGACCUUCGGGCCUCACGCCAUCAGAUGUGCCCAGAUGGGAUUAGCUAGUAGGUGGGGUAAUGGCUCACCUAGGCGACGAUCUCUAGCUGGUCUGAGAGGAUGACCAGCCACACUGGAACUGAGACACGGUCCAGACUCCUACGGGAGGCAGCAGUGGGGAAUAUUGCACAAUGGGCGCAAGCCUGAUGCAGCCAUGCCGCGUGUAUGAAGAAGGCCUUCGGGUUGUAAAGUACUUUCAGCGAGGAGGAAGGCAUUGUGGUUAAUAACCGCAGUGAUUGACGUUACUCGCAGAAGAAGCACCGGCU
rnacentral:rRNA from 1 species